GACGAACGCUGGCGGUGUGCUUAACACAUGCAAGUCGAACGGUAAGGCCCUUUCGGGGGUACACGAGUGGCGAACGGGUGAGUAACACAUGAGUAACCUGCCCUCAUCUCUGGGAUAACAGUCGGAAACGGUUGCUAAUACUGGAUAUGAGCCUGCAAGGCAUCUUGUGGGUUGGAAAGAUUUUUUGGUUGGGGAUGGACUCGCAGCCUAUCAGCUUGUUGGUGAGGUAGUGGCUCACCAAGGCUUCGACGGGUAGCCGGCCUGAGAGGGCGACCGGCCACAUUGGGACUGAGAUACGGCCCAAACUCCUACGGGAGGCAGCAGUGGGGAAUAUUGCACAAUGGACGGAAGUCUGAUGCAGCAACGCCGCGUGCGGGAUGACGGCCUUCGGGUUGUAAACCGCUUUCAAUUGUGACGAAGCUUUUUGUGACGGUAGCAGUAGAAGAAGCACCGGCUAACUACGUG
rnacentral:rRNA from 1 species